UUAGGCCCCGCAGCUGCAGUUAAAUCAAUUGGCACCAUCUGUCCAGAGGCCUGCUUUCGGUUGCCUAUCAGUACAACCCCAUCUUCAGUCAAUGUUUCAGCUCCUGCUUUCAAUUCUCUGCCUGUGGCUGAAGACAGCACUUCUAACUCCUUUUUCAAAAUGGGAGCAUGAAGCAAAACCUGAACAGAGGCCUCCAGAAAUGAUGUUUGCUCCCUGAAGGAAAAGGCAGUACCAGAGCAGACCUGCACCCCACAUGGGUAAGAGCCGCCUGUGUGCCCCACAAGGCAAUCAAGCUUUUGUCUUGGUGUACAGUGCUCAGUGCAGGUUGGUGCAGAAAGGUGGAUGACAGGAGUAGAAUUUUCCUCGUGCUGAAGUAAAGGAAUAUUUACCAUCACUGGUAAGACAGCCGAAAUCUCAUGUCUGGCUUGGUUUGCCAGGGAUACCAAGCGCUGACGUCAGGGGACAUGAAGGCACUGAGAAGCUCAGCAAACGAGGCCCAAAGAGCAUCAUUACAGAGAAAGCAUCUGUGCACGCACCAAAAGGGAAGGCAAACUACAGGGAGUUUAUCACCACCGCCCACUGCCACCUGUCUUCCAGCCCUGCACACAAGGGCUGUCUGUGUUUAUCCCAAGACACCCACAGAGGGCUGCUCCCCAUCCAGCUGAGACCAAGCGUGUCCACAGAGCUCUUACAGCCCUGAAAACAGCAACGUUCUCAUCCCCAGCAUCUGUCUGUGUGGAGACCUCCGCCUGGGCCGUGGGCAGGACAUAUCCCACCAGGGAUAUGCUAACACCACGUUAAAUCAAGAGAAGAUCUCCAGCUUUUUGCGUGCUGACAUCCAUGAGGGCAGCUUUGCUUUAUGCUGCAUUGUAAGAACCACUACCCGCCAGGACGAGGCUCAGGCCGCUCUGGGGGCAGCCUGCCACCUUGCACCUUUCCCUCUCAUGGAUCUCCUCUCCUGCAGACCUUAGGGGCAGGACAUAACCAAGUCUGUUUUUGUACAGCACCUGACAUGGGGAACCCCAGGCAGCCCUAGGCCUCCUCUGUUGCCAUCAUGCAAAGACAACAACUUCGUGAAAUGUGCACUUACAAUUUAACUGAUUUGAGAAAUAGAUUGGACACAAACUGUUAGGCAAAAUCUUGUGCCAGGUAGAAUAGAGCUGAUCUUCAGUGCCUCACAGUCGUGAGGACCUGGUGAGACGAGCAAGCACGGAGCAGCAGCCUGAGGGCACUUCCUGUUUUUUAGACAGGUUUCUCCCCACGUAUUGCAGAGAAAGUUUGCUUUUCACAAAGUGAGAUGCAAGCAAGAGAGGUGUUGCUAGCGCAAACUCUAAGUUCUCAUUUUUACAGGAAUAUUCCUCAGCAACAGGCCAGCACCGAGUCAAAAAGAAGAAUUAAAAUAUAAAAGCCUGAAUCUCCUCCCUGGCCCUGAGAACGAGGAAUAGAAAUCAUCGCUUCAUGCCGAAAGCCUAGAGGGACUUCAAGACUGCAGGAGUGUGUGAGUGAAGGUGUAAUGGUGCAGUCUUUGAUGACUUACAUAUGUAGUCUCAGCAGAAAACUUUGAACCAUUUUCACUGACAUUACUUUUGUUACUAAAUUGCCUUAUUUAAAAUUUCAUAUAGACACAUUUGUACUCUUCUGACCUAUGGCCACUGGUAUAUUUAUCCAGAACUAAAGAAGCGUGAGACACCCUGACAUUUACAGCAUUGGAAGUACUUCACUCCAGCAUGUAGGGCAGAAUCUGCCCUGAUCCAUAAAGGUGGAAGAGCCAGACUGCCAGCUGUGGCUGUUACCUGCCCAUGUUUUACUCCACGGAUGAGCUGUUUACCUCUGGGGGAUCAGAGACAAACCCAGGGACAUACUGCAAAUCCAAAAGCAUUGCUCCUAGGUUCCCAAGGAAAUAUCUCAAAUUGUAUUAUUAAGCAUUCAGUAAAAGGGCAAACUCAGCCCUCAGAUGUAGCCCCUGCAAUCAGAGGUUCUGAAGGCUGAGCACUGGAGCACUGUGGCUGGACCACUGAAAACUGACUGUAGACAUCCCAAGUCACGUAGCAACUAAACUGCAGGAACUCUCUUCCAUUGUGCCAGAGGAAAUGGUCAGGAAUGACCCUCAUCGGCACAGUGCAGCCUGUUUGUCUGUUCACCAGUAUGAUAGGUAAUUUCAGCUCAUCGUGUCUCCAGUAUACCAUCCUAGCACAGGAAGGAAUGGGCCGUACUCAUUUUCUGUGUGGGAUUCCCAUUACUUUUGUUGCUUCUAAACCACUUGAACAGACAGUAACAAAAAGUUUCUUUUAAGAUAUUAAAUGCAAUGCAGUUUGACUAAGUGGUUUGAUAUUAAUGAUUUAGUUCUUAUUUGCAAAAUAAAUAUUUUUUCACUGUUCUGUCUUAAGGAUACUAUGGUGUUUUUGAAGUUUUACGCAGUGUAUAGAUGCAAACAAUGUCUAGUACUUACAAAAAAAAGUGUAAUUAGUCAACAAAC